UUACGGCCAAAUCACAUUGAAAUACCUGUUCACCUGAAGUUAAACAACGUUGAGCGUGGGUAGUACCUAGAUGGGUGACCACUUGGGAAUACCAGGUACUGUCAG